rnacentral:rRNA from 1 species
AACGAACGCUGGCGGCAUGCCUAACACAUGCAAGUCGAACGAGAUCUUCGGGUCUAGUGGCGCACGGGUGCGUAACGCGUGGGAAUCUGCCCUUGGGUUCGGAAUAACAGUUGGAAACGACUGCUAAUACCGGAUGAUGACGAAAGUCCAAAGAUUUAUCGCCAGAGGAUGAGCCCGCGUAGGGUUAGCUAGUUGGUGUGGUAAAGGCGCACCAAGGCGACGAUCCUUAGCUGGUCUGAGAGGAUGAUCAGCCACACUGGGACUGAGACACGGCCCAGACUCCUACGGGAGGCAGCAGUGGGGAAUAUUGGACAAUGGGCGAAAGCCUGAUCCAGCAAUGCCGCGUGAGUGAUGAAGGCCUUAGGGUUGUAAAGCUCUUUUACCCGGGAUGAUAAUGACAGUACCGGGAGAAUAAGCUCCGGCUAACUCCGUGCCAGCCGCCGCUGUAA